GAAAACUUCUCUUUUGUUUUAUUGAUUUCUUCAUCGGAAAUUUCAAGUAAAAUGUCUCGCCGAGGCAGUGGUGGGGGCGGCGGCGGUCGUGGUUCAGGUGGUCGUGGGGGACAGCCGUCUCCGGCUAUAUCUCGCGGCGGCGGUGGAAGAGGUGGACGAGGCGGUGGAGGGAGAGAUGGAGGUAGAGUAGGUCAUCCAGCUUCUCAGCAGUUUCCUUCUUCGACUCCUCAGCCUAGUCCGGUUGCUUCCCCUCCUCCUCCCCAGACUUCUACGGGAGCAUCUUCUUCAUCCUCCUCAGGUACUGCUACUCACUCACAGCCCGAGGUUUCGAGGAUUGAGGCACAAGUGGGGAAGAUGACAUUGAC
rnacentral:misc_RNA from 1 species